GUGGGUCUAGGGUAUCUCUGAUGUCUCUCUGGAAGGCAACUCGUGCCCUAAUUUCAUCCACCUUGUUGUCUAGAGAUUGGACAUUGUAAUAUGCUCGGAAGCGGUGGAUGGUGUGCUCGCCUUCUGAGUCUGACCAGUUGGCCGUUCCGUCUUCCUCUCCUGCCGCGACCGCAUUUUUUUAGGUCGGCCGCUGGGAUAAGAUCGCAUGUCCAGGGUGGAGGUCCGAACAAAGGAUCCGCUUCAGAAAAGACUGAUCCCUGGUCGUAAUGAUGCAUCUUCUUCAAAAGAGAAGCAUCCUCUACAACUCAGUAUCCUCCGUGUCCCAGUGUGUUUGUGAAUGAAGCUCCAGAGAGAAGAGUGUUCCAAACUAGAGUUGCAAUCCAGCAGGAUUCUACUGGAAGUCUCCCUUACUCAUACUGACGUGAGAUCAGAGGAGCCCCAGCCAUGAAUACAACCUCCAAUAGGAGAUAGAAACACACAGAAAGAGACAAAAACACACUUUACGACUCACAGUUAGGACGUGUGUUAACAUUUAGAGAUAAAAUGUAUCUCAUAACUGACUUUAGUUGUGAAUACAAAAACAUAAAAGCCUUACUUGUUUUGUUUUCAAAUUCAAAUAUUGAUUCAAUGUUUAGGACCUAUCAGGGUUGCGGUCAAAUGUAUUUUUAUGUAUUAAAUUCAACACUUCUAUUCAUUUACGUUUUAUAAUAAAAUUAAAAUAAUUCA